AUUCUUUUAGUAUACUUAGUACAGCUGACUUCCAAUCAGUUAGACUUGGAUUAAACCAAGAAAGAAUA
rnacentral:tRNA from 1 species